rnacentral:rRNA from 1 species
CCUACGGGUGGCAGCAGUGAGGAAUAUUGGUCAAUGGACGAGAGUCUGAACCAGCCAAGUAGCGUGAAGGAUGACUGCCCUAUGGGUUGUAAACUUCUUUUAUAUGGGAAUAAAACGUUCCACGUGUGGGAUUUUGUAUGUACCAUAUGAAUAAGGAUCGGCUAACUCCGUGCCAGCAGCCGCGGUAAUACGGAGGAUCCGAGCGUUAUCCGGAUUUAUUGGGUUUAAAGGGAGCGUAGGUGGAUUGUUAAGGCAGUUGUGAAAGUUUGCGGCUCAACCGGAAAAUUGCAGUUGAAACUGGCAGUCUUGAGUACAGUAGAGGUGGGCGGAAUUCGUGGUGUAGCGGUGAAAUGCUUAGAUAUCACGAAGAACUACGAUUGCGAAGGCAGUUCACUGGACUGCAACUGACACUGAGGCUCGAAAGUGUGGGUAUCAAACAGGAUUAGAUACCCGUGUAGUC